GAACUGAAUAGAUUAUUUGCUUCUUGAAUAUCUCAACCAACAGAAAUGUAAGACUAGGGAAUUAUGUGCAACAGGCAAGGACAGCAAUAGCAAGAGCAACAGAACAACAGCACAGAGAGAAGAGUCUAAAUGUACACAAGGAAAUGAGUUAAAGAAGGAAAUCUGGUACAAGUUACAGGGAAGAAGUGGAUAAAAGGUAUUAUGGACAUAACAGGGUUAUUUCUUAUCUACAAAUGGAGAACAAAUGAUGAGAGAAGUGCUAUACAAAGUGUCAGUUGCUACCUUUAUUGACAAGGAAUGAGAAAGAGGAAUGAAGCCCCCU